rnacentral:rRNA from 1 species
GCGAGGGUUGUAGCUGGCCUCCCUUUCGAGGCAUGUGCACGCCUGAGCUCUUAAAUCCACAACACACCUGUGAACCCACCGUAGGCCUUCGGGCUUAUGUAUCAUAUACUCUGAAUGUGUCAUAGAAUGUUCAUGUUGCCUUAAAACGCAAUCAAAUACAACUUUCAACAACGGAUCUCUUGGCUCUCGCAUCGAUGAAGAACGCAGCGAAAUGCGAUAAGUAAUGUGAAUUGCAGAUUUUCAGUGAAUCAUCGAAUCUUUGAACGCACCUUGCGCUCCUUGGUAUUCCGAGGAGCAUGCCUGUUUGAGUGUCAUUAAAUCCUCAACCCCACCGAUUUGCUUCGGGGGGAUUGGACUUGGAGCGUGCUGGCGAAGGUCGGCUCCUCUUUAAAUGCAUCAGCGGAGAAGAAAGCUCGUCCCAGUGUGAUAAUCCUGUUGCGCUGUGGUGGGGUGAAAAUUCCGCUUCCAACCGUCCUCCGGGACAAGACAUCUCAAUUUGACCUCAAAUCAGGUAGGACUACCCGCUGAACUUAAGCAUAUCAAUAAGCGGAGGAAAAGAAACUAACAAGGAUUCCCCUAGUAACUGCGAGUGAAGCGGGAAAAGCUCAAAUUUAAAAUCUGGCGGUCGCUCUGGCCGUCCGAGUUGUAAUCUGGAGAAGUGUUUUCCGCGUCGGACCGUGUACAAGUCUUCUGGAACGGAGCGUCAUAGAGGGUGAGAAUCCCGUCUCUGACACGGACUGCCGAUGCUUUAUGUGAUACGCUCUCGAAGAGUCGAGUUGUUUGGGAAUGCAGCUCANAAUGGGUGGUAAAUUCCAUCUAAAGCUNAAUAUUGGCGAGAGANCGAUAGCGAACAAGUACCGUGAGGGAAAGAUGAAAAGCACUUUGGAAAGAGAGUUAAACAGUACGUGAAAUUGUUGAAAGGGAAACGUUUGAANUCAGUCNCGUUGGCCGGGNCUCNAC